CACAUGUUUUCAUGGUCAUCUUAAAUGGAUGUAUUUCCACAGAGAAACAGCGUUCAUAUGGCCGUCUCAGUUGUCGUGGGUUUCUUAGAUAAAAAGCCACAUGGCAUACAGCUAUCGUCCUGAUGAUGGUUUUUGACAUUUCGACGUGUUUUGACAAGGUUUCAUGUGAAUCUGGGUCGCCAGUGUGACUGCUGUGAAUCCACGACUGCAGAUGCUGGUCUCUGGGAACGAGCAGGCAUCAGACGUCUGAAAGCCAUCUGUCAGGUGCUUCUUAAAAAAAAAAAGACCUUCUGCAAUUUUGAUUCUCCCAACUAGAGCCCCAGGAAUUGAAACAGUGGCUAUUAUGAAAUCAAAGCCCUUGAAUCGUGGAUCAGUGGUAUGAUGAUACUGGUAUGAACACACUCCUGUUUCAUUAAGGCUCUCCGUCACACUGUGGCCCAGCAGUCUGUCAGACGGAGAGUGUGUCUCUGGUGGAGCUGUUCGGGUAUGAAGUGGAGUUGGCUGCAGUCUGAGGAGAUGGAUUCAAUAUUCUCUUGAUUGAUGAUGCUGACAGCAGCUGUUGGCACGUUGGCCCUGUCAGAUGCUCCGAGGCACUCUGGAUUUUCCUGAGGGGGCAUCACAUGUUGGAGGGGGAAGAAGACAACGCCCUGACAAUUCCUCACACCGGCAGACACCAAGGACAUGUUGUUUUUUUCACACUACGAUUUACAGCCUCGCUGAGAACUCUGAGGUUUGCUUUUUUUGUGGGAAAAUGUACAAAUACAGAGUUCAGCUUCUGCCAGAUAGAGGCAUGUGGAGAGAGCCCUCGGGCAAACACAAUGCUUCCAUGCACUGGUUAAGUUUGGUUGGUAGGUUGCAUAUACAGUAGGUGUUUUACCCCACUUUGUCUUUUGGAGAUGUAUAUUAAACUCAUCCAAACGUGUAUUAGUUCGUGCUACAUUCGUUUAUUUAAAUCAUAACGUUACAGUAACAUUUAAAUAGAAAAUAAUGUCUUAAUUAAUUAACGUUGGGGAAGUUUCAAGACUGCAUUUAUUUAUUAAAAUGUCUACAAAAAUCUG